AUGGUAAGCCAGAUGUGAAAGCCUGGGGCUUAACNCGAGGAUUGCAUUUGGAACUAUCAAGCUAGAGUACAGGAGAGGAAAGCGGAAUUCCUAGUGUAGCGGUGAAAUGCGUAGAUAUUAGGAAGAACACCAGUGGCGAAGGCGGCUUUCUGGACUGAAACUGACGCUGAGGCUCGAAAGCGUGGGGAGCAAACAGGAUUAGAUACCCUGGUAGUCCACGCCGUAAACGAUGAGUGCUAGGUGUCGGGGAGGAAUCCUCGGUGCCGCAGCUAACGCAAUAAGCACUCCACCUGGGGAGUACGACCGCAAGGUUGAAACUCAAAGGAAUUGACGGGGGCCCGCACAAGCGGUGGAGCAUGUGGUUUAAUUCGAAGCAACGCGAAGAACCUUACCAAGGCUUGACAUCCCGAUGACCGUCCUAGAGAUAGGACUUCUCUUCGGAGCAUCGGUGACAGGUGGUGCAUGGUUGUCGUCAGCUCGUGUCGUGAGAUGUUGGGUUAAGUCCCGCAACGAGCGCAACCCUUAUCUUCAGUAGCCAUCAUUCAGUUGGGCACUCUGGAGAGACUGCCGUGGAUAACACGGAGGAAGGUGGGGAUGACGUCAAAUCAUCAUGCCCCUUAUGUCUUGGGCUACACACGUGCUACAAUGGCUGGUAACAAAGUGACGCAAAACGGCGACGUUAAGCAAAUCACAAAAACCCAGUCCCAGUUCGGAUUGUAGUCUGCAACUCGACUACAUGAAGCUGGAAUCGCUAGUAAUCGCGAAUCAGCAUGUCGCGGUGAAUACGUUCCCGGGCCUUGUACACACCGCCCGUCACACCAUGGGAGAUGGAAGCACCCGAAGUCGGUGACCUAACCGUAAGGAAGGAGCCGCCGAAGGUGAAGCCAGUGACUGGGGUGAAGUCGUAACAAGGUAACCA
rnacentral:rRNA from 1 species